UGACCUCAAAUCAGGC
rnacentral:rRNA from 1 species